CACGUAGGGACCAAGCGUUGUCCGGAUUUAUUGGGCGUAAAGAGCUCGUAGGCGGUUCGGUAAGUCGGGUGUGAAAACUCUGGGCUCAACUCAGAGAUGCCACCCGAUACUGCCGUGACUCGAGUCCGGUAGGGGAGCACGGAAUUCCUGGUGUAGCGGUGAAAUGCGCAGAUAUCAGGAGGAACACCGGUGGCGAAGGCGGUGCUCUGGGCCGGUACUGACGCUGAGGAGCGAAAGCGUGGGUAGCAAACA
rnacentral:rRNA from 1 species